UAACUACUCCCUCCGUCCAACAAAAGAUGUCUCAAGUUUGUUAAAAUUUGGAUGUAUCUAGACAUGACUUAGUGUAUAGAUGCAUUCAAAUUUAGUGAAAGUUGGACGGAGGGAGUACUAU
rnacentral:pre_miRNA from 1 species